GAUGAACGCUGGCGGCGUGCCUAAUACAUGCAAGUCGAGCGAACAGACGAGGAGCUUGCUCCUCUGACGUUAGCGGCGGACGGGUGAGUAACACGUGGAUAACCUACCUAUAAGACUGGGAUAACUUCGGGAAACCGGAGCUAAUACCGGAUAAUAUAUUGAACCGCAUGGUUCAAUAGUGAAAGACGGUUUUGCUGUCACUUAUAGAUGGAUCCGCGCCGCAUUAGCUAGUUGGUAAGGUAACGGCUUACCAAGGCGACGAUGCGUAGCCGACCUGAGAGGGUGAUCGGCCACACGGGAACUGAGACACGGUCCAGACUCCUAAGGGAGGCAGCAGUAGGGAAUCUUCCGCAAUGGGCGAAAGCCUGACGGAGCAACGCCGCGUGAGUGAUGAAGGUCUUCGGAUCGUAAAACUCUGUUAUUAGGGAAGAACAAAUGUGGAAGUAACUAUGCACGUCUUGACGGUACCUAAUCAGAAAGCCACGGCUAACUACGUG
rnacentral:rRNA from 1 species